CCCUUAGUUAUCCUAGGUCGCACGCGCCAUACAAUGUGGCGCACAACGAGUCUCCUUGGCCGACAGGAUGUCCCGCGAGCGAUCGGCGACGCAGCCAGCUCGGUCUUCGGGCAGACUCGGUGAGAGUGGCCCGUCCUCCUGAGAGGGCGAUCGUCGAUGCCUCGGGAUUCUGGGCAAUCUGGCAGAGCGCUACGUGACUGGGCUAGACUUUUGUAAUUUUUGGUCUUGAACGAGGAAUGCCUAGUAAUCGCAGGUCAGCAUCCUGCGAUGAUUCGGUCCCUGCCCUUUGUACACGCCGCCCGUCGCUCCAUCCGUGGCAUGCGCCGGUGAAGAGGGGGAGGCAGCGUCGGCCGUGUAACAGCGGAUCGUACGUGGAACCCCUCUGAACCUUCGCACGUAGAGGAAGGAGAAGUCGUAACA
rnacentral:rRNA from 1 species